rnacentral:rRNA from 1 species
CGCGGUAAUACGGAGGGUGCAAGCGUUAAUCGGAAUUACUGGGCGUAAAGCGCACGUAGGCGGUAUGUUAAGUUGGAUGUGAAAGCCCCGGGCUCAACCUGGGAAUUGCAUUCAAAACUGGCAUGCUAGAGUAUGUGAGAGGGGGGUAGAAUUCCAAGUGUAGCGGUGAAAUGCGUAGAGAUUUGGAGGAAUACCAGUGGCGAAGGCGGCCCCCUGGCACAAUACUGACGCUCAGGUGCGAAAGCGUGGGGAGCAAACAGGAUUAGAUACCCUGGUAGUCCACGCCGUAAACGAUGUCUACUAGCUGUUCGUGGUCUUGUACUGUGAGUAGCGCAGCUAACGCACUAAGUAGACCGCCUGGGGAGUACGGUCGCAAGAUUAAAACUCAAA